rnacentral:RNase_MRP_RNA from 1 species
AAGCACGGCUUCGCAGCGCACAGACGGGGAGCUCGCUCCUUCCUUGAAGCUGCGGGGAAAGUCCCCG